rnacentral:snoRNA from 1 species
ACCCUCCAGAUUUCCUUACCCAUCAAACUGAAACACUAGUCCCAGUGGUUGUAAAAGGAGGAAGUGUAAAAUUGAAAUGGACUUAAAUUCUUUUGUGACAUACAAGCUAGUUUUAAAGGAAA